UCCGUAGGCGGGUAAUUAAGUCAGAGGUGGAAUCCCACAGCUUAACUGUGGAACUGCCUUAGAUACUGGUUAUCUUGAGUUUUAGUGAAGUAGAUAGAAUGCGUAGUGUAGCGGUGAAAUGCAUAGAUAUUACACAGAAUACCGAUUGCGAAGGCAGUCUACUAACUAACAACUGACGCUAAUGGACGAAAGCGUGGGGAGCGAACAGGAUUAGAUACCCUGGUAGUC
rnacentral:rRNA from 1 species